GAUGAAGAACGCAGCGAAAUGCGAUAAGUAGUGUGAAUUGCAGAAUUCAGUGAAUCAUCGAAUCUUUGAACGCACAUUGCGCCCCUUGGUAUCCCGAGGGGCAUGCCUGUUCGAGCGUCAUUUCACCACUCAAGCCUGGCUUGGUGUUGGGCGACGUCCCCUUUGGGGACGCGCCUCGAAACGCUCGGCGGCGUGGCACCGGCUUUAAGCGUAGCAGAAUCUUUCGCUUUGGAAGUCGGGGCCCCGUCUGCCGGAAGACCUACUCGCAAGGUUGACCUCGGAUCAGGCAGGGAUACCCGCUGAACUUAAGCAUAUUAAUAAGCGGAGGA
rnacentral:misc_RNA from 1 species